rnacentral:rRNA from 1 species
CCUACGGGAGGCAGCAGUGAGGAAUAUUGGUCAAUGGGCGGGAGCCUGAACCAGCCAAGCCGCGUGAGGGAAGAAGGUACAGCGUAUCGUAAACCUCUUUUGUCAGGGAACAAAGGCGGGGACUAGUCCCCGGAUGAGGGUACCUGAAGAAAAAGCAUCGGCUAACUCCGGGCCAGCAGCCGCGGUAAUACGGAGGAUGCGAGCGUUAUCCGGAUGUAUUGGGUUUAAAGGGUGCGCAGGCGGCCUGUUAAGUCAGCGGUAAAAGCCCGGGGCUCAACCCCGGCGAGCCGUUGAAACUGGGGGGCUGGAGUUGGAGAGAGGUACGCGGAAUGCGCGGUGUAGCGGUGGAAUGCGUAGAUAUCGCGCAGAACCCCGAUUGCGAAGGCAGCGUACCGGCUCCACACUGACGCUGAGGCACGAAAGCGUGGGUAUCGAACAGGAUUAGAUACCCUUGUAGUC